AGGGAUGGCAGAAUCCACCUCAGGCUGGAACCACACCUUUGCAGUCCCUCGAAAGCAAGAAAUGGUGACAAAGAAGCUCGCUGGUGCUGCUUCUGAAACAGCUGCCUGGGUUAACAAUGUUGGUAUGUUGGCUUUCCGAGAUGGUGGCUGGAUUGACGACGCUGCAUCUUCGAGGUGGACCCCCGGAGGUGCCUGCCUUCUCAUUGAGGCGUAGCGGCGGCCCGACCUGGAGGGGAAGCGCAUGAUGCUCAGCCUGACUGUUGCCAAGGUGACCCUGAGGAUCUCCUGGGAGGAGUGGAGGCUGCACUGUUGGAGGGAGGACACAUGGGGCGGAGGAGACGGCCCUCCUCAUCCAGGAUCUCCACGUCACCCUGGAUGUCCCUUUGCUGGAUUUUCUCCGCAUCCAGGACAUAUGGAGACACAGAAGCGCCACCUCAGCUGCAUUCAGGACCCACCAGGUGUGCAGCUGUACACAGAGACUGGUAGACUGACAAAGGGCGGGGUCAGCCUUGCAGUUUCCACCUUAACCAGUUCAUCCCAGCCUGGAGCCCUGCAGAAGAAACGUGCACAUGAACGGAGGUGAAGAAGAAGAAGAAGAAGAAGGAGGAGAAGGAGAGGUGGUUGGCUGUCCCUUCUGUUUAGCUUUGCUUUCUUUUCCUUUUUCCCUUUGUUUGGCAGAUCCCUCUCUGCUGUCCACUACAUCACUUCCCUGAUGUGAACUGAGCCUAAGUUGUGGAGGCCUGCUGUCUGGAAACAGCUGAAUAGGAAUUUUCAUUUCAGUGUAAUUUCCCCCCUGUAAUCCAUUUUGAUGAUAUGAAUGAAACAUCAGUGUCCCUGUCUCUUGAAAAGCCAGUGAGUGUAAAUAACACCGUAAAUCUGGCCCAGCAACCAAUGACAGACUGUUUUGAUUCUGUAUUCAUCUCAUGUAACAAACCAAAAAAAAAUGAAUCAGGAGCUCAAGGUAAACCCUGGAUGGAUGCUGUUCUAAAUCUACCUCAUGGCUUCAGAGCGAACACACAACACAUAAAAAAUGGUCUGGUUGCUCAAUUGCAGCACUUACUCAAGAUCCCAUCAUCCCCUGCCUGCAGAUGUUGGGCUCUCCAGCCUCGUGGGUUCAUUUGAUAGAAGUACCAAUAACACCAUAUGGGAAUCUGGGAUUAAAAUAAAUGCCUUCAAUAUAUGGACAUCAUGUGUAAAAAAAAAAAAAAAAACAUACUAUAUUAUCAUUACUUACAAUAUUCACUCACAAUCUUCCCCUACAGUGUGCUGUGAUAUAGUUGCAGCCACACUGACUUACAAAUUGAGAACAACCAGAGGAAGUGAAAGGCUAAGUCCCUGGAUUUGCACAACAGUGAAAAGACGACUGUGCUAAACAGCAUCUUCAUAUCCCCUCCCACAGACACUUCAUUCUUUACUCAGAGACCUGAGGAGAAAUACGGCUCAUCUCCUCAGUCUCACCACUGUGGUUCUGAAUAAAUAAAAAGGGCAUCACCGUGAGGAAUGAUUUACUCUGUCCACCUCUGAAACGUAUCCCUACAGGUCCUCAUUAAAACUAAUCCUGUCAGUGGCUGCCCAUGGAAGAUGAUCCUAGUUAUGCUAGGAUUGGCACUGAGGCCACUUCUGGGUCUUUCUGCCAAAUGUAUAUCAAUAAAAGCAAAUGCACAUGCACAUUUGUUGAGAGCAACAUGUCUGAGGAGGGAAUAAAUGCGAAUAUUGAU